rnacentral:rRNA from 1 species
AGUAAUGCCUAGGAAUCUGCCUGGUAGUGGGGGACGAACGUUUCGAAAGGAACGCUAAUACCGCAUACGUCCUACGGGAGAAAGCAGGGACCUUCGGGCCUUGCGCUAUCAGAUGAGCCUAGGUCGGAUUAGCUAGUUGGUGAGGUAAUGGCUCACCAAGGCGACGAUCCGUAACUGGUCUGAGAGGAUGAUCAGUUACACUGGAACUGAGACACGGUCCAGACUCCUACGGGAGGCAGCAGGU